rnacentral:rRNA from 1 species
CGGGGGGAGCAAGCGUUGUUCGGAAUCACUGGGCGUAAAGGGCGUGUAGGCGGUCAGGUAAGUGGGAUGUGAAAUGCCCCGGCUCACCCGGGGACCUGCAUCCCAAACUGCUUGGCUUGAGUAUGGGAGAGGAUGAGGGAACUCCUGGUGUAGCGGUGGAAUGCGUAGAUAUCAGGAGGAACACCGGUGGCGAAGGCGCUCAUCUGGCCCAAUACUGACGCUGAGGCGCGAAAGCUAGGGGAGCAAACGGGAUUAGAUACCCCGGUAGUCCUAGCCGUAAACGGUGCUCACUAGGUGUUGGAGGCAUCGACCCCUCCAGUGCCGCAGCUAACGCAUUAAGUGAGCCGCCUGGGGAGUACGGCCGCAAGGUUG